rnacentral:rRNA from 1 species
AUGAUGCUAAUGAUAUGCAAAGCCACAAGCUUGGGUAUGCUAUGUUUGAUGAAGAUGAUAUUUUUUGUCCCCCAAGCUGAGCAAAUUUACUACGACGAAAGCAUGCCUCCUAUCUAUGAUGAUUAUUGUGAUGACACGUAUGCUUUAAAGAACAAUGAUAACCAUGAAACUUGUCAUCUUGAUCUUAAUUUUCAAUCAUAUGAUAGUUAUUUUGUUGAGUUUGCUCCCACUACUAUUCAUGAGAAUAAAUUUGCUUAUGUGGAGAGUAGUAAAAUUUCUAUGCAAGUAGAUCAUGAAAAGAAUGCUUUAUGUGCUGGUUAUAUGGUUGACUUCUUUCAUGAUGCUACUGAAAAUUAUUAUGAGAGGGGAUCAUAUGCUUCUACAUAUUGCAAUAAUAUCAAGUUUCCUCUCUAUGUGCUUAAAGUUUUGAAGUUAUGCUUGUUUUGCUUUCCUAUGCUAGUUGAUUAUUGUUCCCAUAAGUUGUUUGCUCACAAAAUUCCUAUGCAUAGGAAGUGGGUUAGACUUAAAUGUGCUAGUCAUAUUCUUCAUGAUGCUCUCUUUAUGUUUCAAUUCUUAUCUUUUUGUGAGCAUCAUUGA